GUCUAUGGCCAUGCUAUCCUGAACAAGCCCGAUCUGGUCUGAUCUCAGAAGCUAAGCAGGGUUGGGCCUGGUUAGUAUUUGGAUGGGAGACCACCUAAGAAUACCAGGUGCUGUAGAAG
rnacentral:rRNA from 1 species